AAAACGUCAGCCUCGGAGAAAGAUGGAUGGAAAUUCAUGUCCCCUGACACCAGCCCCAGGAGGGGCUACCCCCUCUAUUUCUACAGGGACACGGCUGGAGCAGAGGGAAGGAGGAGAACCAAGGCCGAGGUUUCACCGCGCCCGCAGCUCAGCCAAGCUGUUGUUUUAAAAGAGCAAUAAAAGUGAAUUAUGACUAAA